rnacentral:rRNA from 1 species
CUUGGUCAUUUAGAGGAAGUAAAAGUCGUAACAAGGUCUCCGUUGGUGAACCAGCGGAGGGAUCAUUACCGAGUUUACAACUCCCAAACCCCUGUGAACAUACCUAUACGUUGCCUCGGCGGAUCAGCCCGCGCCCUGUAAAACGGGACGGCCCGCCCGAGGACCCUAAACUCUGUUUUUAGUGGAACUUCUGAGUAAAACAAACAAAUAAAUCAAAAUUUUCAACAACGGAUCUCUUGGUUCUGGCAUCGAUGAAGAACGCAGCAAAAUGCGAUAAGUAAUGUGAAUUGCAGAAUUCAGUGAAUCAUCGAAUCUUUGAGCGCACAUUGCGCCCGCCAGUAUUCUGGCGGGCAUGCCUGUUCGAGCGUCAUUUCAACCCUCAAGCUCAGCUUGGUGUUGGGACUCGCGGUAACCCGCGUUCCCCAAAUCGAUUGGCGGUCACGUCGAGCUUCCAUAGCGUAGUAAUCAUACACCUCGUUACUGGUAAUCGUCGCGGCCACGCCGUAAAACCCCAACUUCUGAAUGUUGACCUCGGAUCAGGUAGGAAUACCCGCUGAACUUAAGCAUAUCAAUAAGCGGAGGA